GUCAUCAACGUCACGCACAGAAGGUGGCCGUGUCGGCUCUGCUGCUCGCAAUGGAGCUCUGCGGCUGUGGGCGCCGCCGGGGGCACCGCCCGGCUGGUGGAAGGUGCUGAGCCCGGGGCUGCGCGCGGCGGAGGUGGCGCAGAUCCUUCGGGCGCUGUUGGACCUCUACGGGAACGACUGCUCGGCGGGGGCGCUCCGCUCCGCCCCACAGCGCCCCCUCCCGCCCCGCACUUCCGGUCCUCCCCGCGCCCGCGUCGCCCCCCCCCGCCCGCGGACGGAGCCGCGACGGGCCGCCACGUGGUUCCCUCCCACCAAUGAACGGCGAGGGUUGGGCGGGGGGGGCGGGGCCGGGCCUUCAUUACGUCACUGUCUUUGUCAGCGCUGCCUCUUUGUGGAUUGGAGGGGGGGGGGAAGCGGCGUUUUCGGCUCGGCCAAUCGGAGCGCGCGGGGUUUCUCGGCGCGUCUUUCUGCUCGGUCCGUCG
rnacentral:lncRNA from 1 species